rnacentral:rRNA from 1 species
UGGCGGACGGGUGAGUAAUGUCUGGGAAACUGCCUGAUGGAGGGGGAUAACUACUGGAACGGUAGCUAAUACCGCAUAACGUCGCAAGACCAAAGAGGGGGACCCUCGGGCCUCUUGCCAUCGGAUGUGCCCAGAUGGGAUUAGCUUGUUGGUGGGGUAACGGCUCACCAAGGCGACGAUCCCUAGCUGGUCUGAGAGGAUGACCAGCCACACUGGAACUGAGACACGGUCCAGACUCCUACGGGAGGCAGCAUG